rnacentral:tRNA from 1 species
UAACGAAUAGUUUAAGGGAAAACAAUAGAUUGUGGUUCUAUAGAUGGGGAGAUCUUUUCGUUAG